GGAUGUAAAGAUGUGAGCUCAGGCAGCUGAGGCUGUCAAUCAGCUUAAAGAAAUGAGAGCCAAAUAGGACGGAAAUCUUCUGGGCGUGACGUUGUCAGUUCUACGAGCUCCAACUGAUCACAGUCCAAUGGCCUUGUGGUCUGCCCAUAAAUACAUCACUCCAUAAUUAAAGAUCCAAGAAGAGCAGCCGUGUGUACCUUGACCCCGGGAGCUCAGACGAAAUGAAGCGUGGUCAACACCGGACCGUCUGACGGACUGAUUGGGUAGUCCCGCUCUGCUCUGCUGUGACGUCGCAGAUAAAGAGGCACGACUGUUUCCACUGCACGUCAGCCGCUUCCAGAUGGGAGUGACAAGUUUUCCGUUUCUCACAAGGAAUGAGGAGAGAAUCUUCCCAGAGCCAAAAGAAAGUCUCAUUUGUGGUCCUCUCCAAGGUUUCUCAUUGUCAUCCGCAUUGACGUCCCACUGGGUUGUGAGUUUUUCCUUGCCCUUUUGUGGGCUCUGAACCGAGGAUGUCGUUGUGGCUUGUGCAGACCUUUGAGGCACUUGUGAUUUAGGGCUAUAUAAAUAACAUUGAUUGAUUGAUUGAUUGAAUCUGAAAUGUAAUAGGUCUUUGAGUCGAUAGGAAUAUAUUUACACAGUUGGGUGGGAGACUGUAAAUUCUAGCGAGACAUUGCUUCAAAUACAAAUAGUAAACCUCCUGAAUAAAAAAAGAGAUAAGCACUUAAGACAACAGUCACACUACACCCACAGCCACAAGAAUAAAAAGCCUAAAACAGCCAGUUAAGUAUUUCUAUUUGUGUGCCCUUUCAGACCACUCUCUGCCGUUUUGAUGUUUCCCAGCAGACACACCAUUCAUUCAGGCGAAGCCAUUACGCAUUGUGCUGCAUCAGUCACAGCCGGGAAACUGAUGAGCGAAAAGGUGAGCGCCAAUGAAGAUAAAAUGUGUUUAUCAGCGGAGGGUAACAAGGAAGGAGUCUGUCAGCUCAUCACUAAAGCAGACAGGUAGAUGUUUCCAAGUGCAGAUAAUGCAACUGUGGAUGAACAUUCAAUGGGAUCACAAACUAAUUAAAAAAAAACAAGAAUAACGCAGAAAAAAUAGACACCAACACAACAAAAACACUUUUGUUCGAUAUACAGAUAAACGUCUCGGGAAAAAAAACUAUAUAAACCCAGUUCCCAUUAAAAUAAUAUAUGAAAUACCCUAUUUCCUUGAAUUGCUGCCGGGUAUAUAGUAUGCGCCUGCCUAAAAUUUCUGCCGGGUCAAGCUCGUUUCGCCAAAUAAUUAGCAUAUGCCUAGAAUUUCUGCCGGGUCAAACUCGUCACGUCACGAGUGACACUUCACCUGUCAUCAUUUUCAAAAUGGAGGAGGCUGAUUUCAAUAAUUUGAAAUCGCAUAAAGGGAAGAAGAUUAAGAGCUAUUCAGUAGAAUUUAAGGUCCAAACUAUUGAAUAUGCUAAAAACAACAGUAACAGCUAUGUUUUAUUAAUAUACCGUAGCUGCGUGUGUCAAAUAUGAGUCAUUAAAUGACUCUCGCCUCCUGGUGGUAGAGGGCGCUAGUGAUCCUUCUUGCGACUACUCGGCUGCAGAAGAAGUGACAACAAGCAGCAAGAGUGAGCAGCCAUCCUUUAUUUUUUCCUCUCGCUUGCACUUUUAACAUGGAGGAUUACAUAUCUAAAAUAAAACAGUUUUCUAAACUGGACUUUCAAUCGAAGCAGGACGUAAUAAAGGAAGAUCUCCAUCGAGACAGAGAGACUUUUAAAACUGAAGAAAGAUAAGGAAGACUUCUAUAAACAAGUUAUCGAUGCUUUUGAUCAGAGGGAGCUGCGCAUGGACUUCAUUUAUAAGUAAAGGUAAGACCAUAAUAAUGUUUUUUAUUAAAUGUGCUUUUCAUGAUGGUAUCCUUACAUCACACUCAAAUUUAUAAGCGCAGGCCUAAAUUUACCGCAUGCCUUUGGUAAAUGCCGGAGUGAGAAGAGGUUUUAAAUUAAUUAGCACCCCGGCGGCAAUUCAAGGAAAUACGGUAUUUUCAAUUUGUUGUCAAAAUCCUGUGCUUUUCACAUUAAAUUAUUGAUAACAUUUCAAAAUCAAAAUCAAUGUUAUUUAAAAAAAAAAAAAUCUCGAAACAUCGCAACUUUUUCCACAACUUUCUGAAAAAGCUCCAGCAAAUUCAGGUAACAAAUACGGACAAAAAUCCCUCAAAAUCCUGAAAGGACUAUCGUAAUUAUUUUCCCACAAAAUUCUUGUGACAUUUAAAAAUGACAGUUUGCCCUGCGUCUAGCGACACUUUCAACACUAGCACAUGCAAACUCCUUUUUUUGACUCACCUGUACACUAUCCAGCACCAUCCCGGCCAUCACCAUUCCCAUUCCAGCCAGCAGGUAAGGGAAAAGAACCUGCAGACAUAUCGCCCGAGAUGACUCCUCCUCUACUUUGGCUAACGAUACUUUCGGCCUCGCCUCCGCUGGCUUUUUAGACAGCGGCUGAACGAUGGGGGGUACGGCCAACUCAUCCUGUCCAUCCCGGUUACCUGCCCGACCAGCACUGGGACUCUUCCCUUUGGGCCGGGACUUCUUGGUCUUUUUCCUCUGCCGGGUUUGUUGUGGUGGUUUGUCAUCGCCAGGCAUGACGGCUGUGCUAAGACUCCUGGCACCGGAUUUUUCUAGAAAAACACAAGUGAUAUGAUGAGGGAUCAAAGACAAUAAUUGUGUGUUUGUUUGUUUCCAAGUGUAUUAGUUAGCAAACCUAUAAAGCAGGGGUGUCCAAACUUUUUCCACUGAGGGCCUCAAACUUACUAAUUGGUACUUUUUAUCUUUAAAACCUGUACAAAAUAUAGAUGUUUCUUCAAAAAAACUGAAAAUGCAGUUACUGUCGAAAUUUUGUGUGAGGAGCAAAAGCUGACAGUUAGCACACUGGCCGGAUACCAUCAAGUAACAAAAAAUAUGGGCAAAAUGAGCUUAAAAAAGGUAGCAUGUUACAGUUAGCAUUAGUGAAAUACCAAAAUAUACGACACUCAGGUGUAAACCUGCUAAAACGACCAAAAACAUCUAGCACGCUAAUGUUAGCGUGCUAAAUGCUAAUGUAACAUGCAUCAAGUACAAUAUUUUACUCUCAGGUGUUUACCUGAAAAAAUGUGUAAGUUUAGUUAAGUCUUUAUUUGUAGGGACAAUGCACAGAAACAUUAAGAUCAAAGACAGAUAUGUUCUUUACCAGAUUAAAUCUAAAUAGCUAAUUUUUCUAUCUGCAUUCCCUGGCUACCUAAAUUAAAGGGAUACAAAAAUCAUGCAAUAAAAUGAUGACAAUAAAAUCAUGCAAUAGCAUGUAAUCAAAUUAAGAAAAGUCAUAAAAUGCCCUUUUAUGGACACAUACUUAAAAUACAAUACAACCACACCUCAUUUACGUCUUUUAGCAAAGACAAUACAAGCUCUUCUUCACAUCUGUCAUCAUU